rnacentral:rRNA from 1 species
CUGACACAGGGAGGUAGUGACAAUAAAUAACAAUGCCGGGCCUUUACAGGUCUGGCAAUUGGAAUGAGAACAAUUUAAAUCCCUUAUCGAGUAUCAAUUGGAGGGCAAGUCUGGUGCCAGCAGCCGCGGUAAUUCCAGCUCCAAUAGCGUAUAUUAAAGUUGUUGCAGUUAAAAAGCUCGUAGUUGGAUUUCUGGCAGGGGUGAGCGGCCACACACUAUGUGUGUGAGCUUGCUUACUCCGCCAUCCUUGAGGAGAUCCUAUUUGGCAUUAAGUUAUCGAGGAGAUAGCCGCUCAUCGUUUACUGUGAGAAAAUUAGAGUGUUCAAAGCAGGCUUAUGCCGUUGAAUAUAUUAGCAUGGAAUAAUAAGAUAGGACC